GAUGAACGCUGGCGGCGUGCCUAAUACAUGCAAGUCGAGCGAACAGACGAGGAGCUUGCUCCUCUGACGUUAGCGGCGGACGGGGGAGUAACACGUGGAUAACCUACCUAUAAGACUGGGAUUACUUCGGGAAACCGGAGCUAAUACCGGAUAAUAUAUUGAACCGCAUGGUUCAAUAGUGAAAGACGGUUUUGCUGUCACUUAUAGAUGGAUCCGCGCCGCAUUAGCUAGUUGGUAAGGUAACGGCUUACCAAGGCAACGAUGCGUAGCCGACCUGAGAGGGUGAUCGGCCACACUGGAACUGAGACACGGUCCAGACUCCUACGGGAGGCAGCAGUAGGGAAUCUUCCGCAAUGGGCGAAAGCCUGACGGAGCAACGCCGCGUGAGUGAUGAAGGUCUUCGGAUCGUAAAACUCUGUUAUUAGGGAAGAACAAAUGUGUAAGUAACUAUGCACGUCUUGACGGUACCUAAUCAGAAAGCCACGGCUAACUACGUG
rnacentral:rRNA from 1 species